GAAAGCCAAUCUCAGUUCGGAUUGUAGGCUGCAACUCGCCUACAUGAAGUUGGAAUCGCUAGUAAUCGCGAAUCAGAAUGUCGCGGUGAAUACGUUCCCGGGUCUUGUACACACCGCCCGUCACACCACGAGAGUUUACAACACCCGAAGUCAGUGGCCUAACCGCAAGGAGGGAGCUGCCUAAGGUGGGGUAGAUGAUUGGGGUGAAGUCGUAACAAGGUAUC
rnacentral:rRNA from 1 species